rnacentral:rRNA from 1 species
GCUUGCGAGUGCUACCUGCAGUCGAACGGUGAAGCCAAGCUUGCUUGGUGGAUCAGUGGCGAACGGGUGAGUAACACGUGAGCAACCUGCCCCGGACUCUGGGAUAAGCGCUGGAAACGGCGUCUAAUACCGGAUAUGAACCACAGCCGCAUGGUUGGUGGUUGGAAAGAUUUUUUGGUUCGGGAUGGGCUCGCGGCCUAUCAGCUUGUUGGUGAGGUAAUGGCUCACCAAGGCGUCGACGGGUAGCCGGCCUGAGAGGGUGACCGGCCACACUGGGACUGAGACACGGCCCAGACUCCUACGGGAGGCAGCAGUGGGGAAUAUUGCACAAUGGGCGGAAGCCUGAUGCAGCAACGCCGCGUGAGGGAUGACGGCCUUCGGGUUGUAAACCUCUUUUAGCAAGGAAGAAGCGAAAGUGACGGUACUUGCAGAAAAAGCGCCGGCUAACUACGUGCCAGCAGCCGCGGUAAUACGUAGGGCGCAAGCGUUAUCCGGAAUUAUUGGGCGUAAAGAGCUCGUAGGCGGUUUGUCGCGUCUGCUGUGAAAACUGGAGGCUCACCUCCAGCCUGCAGUGGGUACGGGCAGACUAGAGUGCGGUAGGGGAGAUUGGAAUUCCUGGUGUAGCGGUGGAAUGCGCAGAUAUCAGGAGGAACACCGAUGGCGAAGGCAGAUCUCUGGGCCGUAACUGACGCUGAGGAGCGAAAGGUGCGGAGCAAACAGGCUUAGAUACCCUGGUAGUCCACCCCGUAACGUUGGGAAUAGUUGUGGGGGCAUUCCACGGUCUCCGUGACGCAGCUAACGCAUUAGUUCCCGCCUGGGAGUACGCCGCAGGCUAAACUCAAGGAAUGACGGGACCGCACAGCGUGGAGAUGCGAUUAUUCGAUGCACGCGAGAACUUACAGCUUGACAUAUACGAGACGGCCAGAAUGUCAUCUUGACCUCGUAACAGGGGUGCAUGGUGCUCAGU